UGCCUAACACAAACCUUGUACAGGGAGGC
rnacentral:piRNA from 1 species